UUUGUUUCGUGCUGAGUUACUGAACUUCCAAGGAUAAACAGGUGCGCAUUCCAAAUUCCUAAAACUAAGCAUUUGGCAUCUCAUCACUCGAUGAACAUAGUCUUCUUCUUUUAUUCCAUUUAAUCCACCGCAGAGCGAUCGCGAGGAAACUUGCUGCUGCUACUAAUGCUUAUCAAUCAGAAGUUCCCUGGAAGAACGUGUGUAGUGGUGGAGCAGCAAAUCCAACUGCAUCUACCUAUACCCAGAUUAGCAACCAUACGCAUGAGGGCAAGCAGAGUUUUACUCGUACAGUUCAUCCAUAAGACAUUGCUAUUGUUGGGAGAGGCAUGGUUGGCAUGGCCCUAUCUUGUUCCUUGGGUGUUUUUUUUUUUUUUCUCCAGUUCCUGGUUUGCAUCUCUUCUUUGAGUAGAUAAUAGUAGAAACAAGAUAAGAGGAAAGGUGGAGACAUUCUUGUUGAUGGCGUUGAAUAUUAGAGUCACACCAGCAACUGUAUCUCUUUUCAGAGGUAUUAAAUAUGCCAUUUUGAUUCUUCAUCUAUUUUUGGCUGACCUUAGCAGUAUAUCAUUGCUCCAUCCAACUGUAUUAUAAUUCACAGUUGAGGUUUGAUGUCAUCUAAUUGAGCUUUUCGUUCUUGCUUAACAACUUCUGUCAUCUGAAAGCCAAGAAAUUUUUAUCACGUUGGAAGACACUUAUAUACGGUGCAGAUGUUCCACUCUUCUUGAUUUUAUAUGCUGCAACAGUGACAUCCUCCCUUAUCACAUGACACAGUCUGGACAUAAGUGAUUUUUUGCAGAUAUUGGUGCUUGGCAAUAUGUUCAACAGCAUCGGCAUGUGUUUUCUGAUAUAUGCAGGUUUACACUGGCUCAAGAUACACAAAGUACAAUGCAAGAGAUGUAAAUAAGAUGUUUUGGGUUGUGUAGUGGAGAACAGGGUGCUUCACAGUUCACUUUUCUCACUUGUUGAGGUAU